AUUGAACGCUGGCGGCAGGCCUAACACAUGCAAGUCGAACGAGAGGCGGACGGGUGAGUAAUGUCUGGGAAACUGCACGAUGGAGGGGGAUAAAUACUGGAACAGGUAGCUAAUACCGCAUACCAUCGGAUGUGCCCAGAUGGGAUUAGCUAGUAGGUGGGGUAACGGCUCCCCUAGGCGACGAUCCCUAGCUGGUCUGAGAGGAUGACCAGCCAAACUGGAACUGAGAAACGGCCCAGACUCCUACGGGAGGCAGCAGUGGGGAAUCUUGCACAAUGGUCGCAAGCCUGAUGCAGCCAUGCCGCUUGUAUGAAGAAGGCCUUCGGGUUGUAAAGUACUUUCAGCGAGGAGGCGUUACUCGCAGAAGAAGCACCGGCUAACUCCGUGCCAGCAGCCGCGGUAAUAC
rnacentral:rRNA from 1 species